UACGGAAGGUCCUGGCGUUAUCCGGAUUUAUUGGGUUUAAAGGGAGCGUAGGCGGCCUGUUAAGCGUGUUGUGAAAUGUACCGGCUCAACCGGUGAGUUGCAGCGCGAACUGUCAGGCUUGAGUGCGCCGAAAGCGGGCGGAAUUCGUGGUGUAGCGGUGAAAUGCUUAGAUAUCACGAAGAACUCCGAUUGCGAAGGCAGCUCGCUGUAGCGUUACUGACGCUGAAGCUCGAAGGCGCGGGUAU
rnacentral:rRNA from 1 species